GAAAGCGGAAGCCGGGGAUGGAUUGUCCCGGUGCAAGCGGGGUACCAGUCACUUUGGCAAAUCCGGGUGGCAAUGGGAAGCCGUGAUGCGGAGUGAAAUAAAGUAACGAAGUCCGUGAGCCAUGCGUCAAGAAAAGCCGCUAUUGUUUAUACCGUACCCGUACCGUAAACCGACACAGGUGGAUGAGGAGAGAAUCCUAAGGCCGGCGGAAGAAGCAUUGUCAAGGAACUCGACAAAAUGGCCCCGUAACUUAGGGAUAAGGGGUGCCUGGGAAACCAGGCCGCAGAGAAUAGGCUCAAGCAACUGUUUAGCAAAAACACAGGUCUAUGCGAAACCGAAAGGUGAGGUAUAUGGGCUGACGCCUGCCCGGUGCUGGAAGGUUAAGAGGAGAGGUUAGCGCAAGCGAAGCUUUGAAUUUAAGCCCCAGUAAACGGCGGCCGUAACUAUAACGGUCCUAAGGUAGCGAAAUUCCUUGUCGGGUAAGUUCCGACCCGCACGAAAGGCGUAAUGAUUUGAGCGCUGUCUCGACAAUGCAUCCGGUGAAAUUGAAGUACCAGUGAAGAUGCUGGUUACCUGCGCCAGGACGGAAAGACCCCAUGGAGCUUUACUCCAGUUUGGUACUGGGACUCGGUAUUGCAUGUACAGGAUAGGUGGGAGGCUAGGAGACAGUAACGCCAGUUAUUGUGGAGCCGCUGUUGGGAUACCACCCUUGCAGUAUUGGGUUUCUAACCAGCCGCCGUGACCCGGCGGUGGGACAAUGCCAGACGGGGAGUUUGACUGGGGCGGUCGCCUCCGAAAGGGUAUCGGAGGCGCCCAAAGGUUCCCUCAGAAUGGACGGAAACCAUUCGAAGAGUGCAAAGGCAGAAGGGAGCUUGACUGCGACACCGACGGGUGGAGCAGGUACGAAAGUAGGGCUUAGUGAUCCGGUGGUAUUAAGUGGGAAUGCCAUCGCUCAACGGAUAAAAGCUACCCUGGAUAACAGGCUUAUCACUCCCAAGAGUUCACAUCGACGGAGUGGUUUGGCACCUCGAUGUCGGCUCAUCGCAUCCUGGGGCUGUAGUAGGUCCCAAGGGUUGGGCUGUUCGCCCAUUAAAGCGGUGCGCGAGCUGGGUUCAGAACGUCGUGAGACAGUUCGGUCCCUAUCCGGCGUGGGCGUAGGAUAUCUGAGAGGAGCUGUCCUUAGUACGAGAGGACCGGGAUGGACGGGCCGCUGGUGCAUCGGUUAGACUGCCAAGUCUACGGCCGAGUAGCCAAGACCGGAAGGGAUAAACGCUGAAGGCAUCUAAGCGUGAAGCCCCCCUUAAGAUGAGAUAUCCCAUUCGAAAGAAGUAAACCCCCUUGAAGACGACGAGGUAGAUAGGGCAGAGGUGGAAGUGUGGCAACACAUGGAGCUGACUGUUACUAAUCGGGUGAGGGCUUGACC
rnacentral:rRNA from 1 species